GCCCGGGUAGUGUAGUGGCCUAUCAUGAGGCCCUGUCGAGGCUUCGACUCGGGUUCAAAUCCCGACCCGGGCG
rnacentral:tRNA from 1 species